GACGAACGCUGGCGGCGUGCCUAAUACAUGCAAGUCGAACGCAUUUUCUUUCACCGUAGCUUGCUACACCGAAAGAAAAUGAGUGGCGAACGGGUGAGUAACACGUGGGUAACCUGCCCAUCAGCGGGGGAUAACACUUGGAAACAGGUGCUAAUACCGCAUAAUUCCAUUUACCGCAUAGUAGAUGGGUGAAAGGCGCUUUUGCGUCACUGAUGGACGGACCCGCGGUGCAUUAGCUAGUUGGUGGGGUAACGGCCUACCAAGGCUGCGAUGCAUAGCCGACCUGAGAGGGUGAUCGGCCACACUGGGACUGAGACACGGCCCAGACUCCUACGGGAGGCAGCAGUAGGGAAUCUUCGGCAAUGGACGCAAGUCUGACCGAGCAACGCCGCGUGAGUGAAGAAGGUUUUCGGAUCGUAAAACUCUGUUGUUAGAGAAGAACAAGGAUGAGAGUGGAAAGUUCAUCCCUUGACGGUAUCUAACCAGAAAGCCACGGCUAACUACGUG
rnacentral:rRNA from 1 species